GAUGAACGCUGGCGGCGUGCCUAAUACAUGCCAGUCGAGCGAACAGACGAGGAGCUUGCUCCUCUGACGUUAGCGGCGGACGGGUGAGUAACACGUGGAUAACCUGCCUAUAAGACUGGGAUAACUUCGGGAAACCGGAGCUAAUACCGGAUAAUAUAUUGAACCGCAUGGUUCAAUAGUGAAAGACGGUUUUGCUGUCACUUAUAGAUGGAUCCGCGCCGCAUUAGCUAGUUGGUAAGGUAACGGCUUACCAAGGCAACGAUGCGUAGCCGACCUGAGAAGGUGAUCGGCCACACUGGAACUGAGACACGGUCCAGACUCCUACGGGAGGCAGCAGUAGGGAAUCUUCCGCAAUGGGCGAAAGCCUGACGGAGCAACGCCGCGUGAGUGAUGAAGGUCUUCGGAUCGUAAAACUCUGUUAUUAGGGAAGAACAAAUGUGUAAGUAACUAUGCACGUCUUGACGGUACCUAAUCAGAAAGCCACGGCUAACUACGUG
rnacentral:rRNA from 1 species